rnacentral:rRNA from 1 species
GAGACUCUGUGCGCGUGCAUAUCAAUAAGCGGAGGAAAAGAAACUAACAAGGAUUCCCUUAGUAACGGCGAGUGAAGCGGGAAGAGCUCAAAUUUGAAAUCUUAAAGGGUUUCCCUUUACGAAUUGUAGUUUAAAGAAGUGUUUUCUGUUGGAGUUUCGGUAAAAGUUCUUUGGAAUAGGACAUCAUAGAGGGUGAGAAUCCCGUAUUUGAUCGUUACUUUCCAGCUGUGUGAUACACUUUCAAAGAGUCGGAUUGUUUGGGAAUGCAGUCCAAAAUGGGUGGUAAAUUUCAUCUAAAGCUAAAUAUUGGCGAGAGACCGAUAGCGAACAAGUACCGUGAGGGAAAGAUGAAAAGAACUUUGAAAAGAGAGUUAAACAGUACGUGAAAUUGUCAAAAGGGAAGCGUUUGACACCAGUGUUGUUUUCUCGAAAAUCAAUUAAAAAUGAUGGGAUUUUGUGUUGUAUUGACUUUAUCAGCUUUCUGCACUUUUUUCUUAUCUUUUUUAAUGCACUUUUCGUUUAACAAGUCAACAUCAAUUUCUUUUGUUGUAAAAGAGUCAUUGGAAGGUGGCUUUUUCUUCGGAAAAAGUGUUUAUAGCCUUUGGCUUCUGCAAUCGGAGAGAUUGAGGUCUGCAGCGUAGAUCCCUCGGGGUUAGAUACAUUUGUGCUAAGCUAUAGUUCUUUAUAGACAACUUGUUGACUAUAAUCAAUCCUGUAACUUACUCGCUUAUGCUAUUUUACCUACGCUUAGGAUGUUGAAGAUGUAGCACAUCAU